GACAGAGGUGCCAAGCGUUAGGCGGAAUCACUGGGCUUAAGGCGUGUGUAGGUGGAUGCCUAAGUGCCUUGUGAAAUCCCACGGCUCAACCGUGGAAUUGCUGGGCAUACUGGGUGUCUUGAGCCAUCCAGGGGUCGCUGGAACAAACGGUGGAGCGGUGAAAUGCGUAGAUAUCGUUUGGAACGCCAAUGGUGAAAACAGGCGACUGGGGAUGAGCUGACACUGAGACACGAAAGCCAGGGGAGCAAACGGG
rnacentral:rRNA from 1 species